rnacentral:rRNA from 1 species
UACAGAGACUGCAAGCGUUAUUCGGCUUCACUGGGCGUAAAGCGUGCGCAGGCGGUUGUGUAAGACAGAUGUGAAAUCCCCGGGCUCAACCUGGGAACUGCAUUUGUGACUGCACGGCUCGAGUGCGGCAGAGGGGGAUGGAAUUCCGCGUGUAGCAGUGAAAUGCGUAGAUAUGCGGAGGAACACCGAUGGCGAAGGCAAUCCCCUGGGCCUGCACUGACGCUCAUGCACGAAAGCGUGGGGAGCAAACAGG